GACGUAGGGCGCGAGCGUUGUCCGGAUUUAUUGGGCGUAAAGAGCUCGUAGGCGGCUUGUCGCGUCGUCCGUGAAAACCUGCAGCUCAACUGCAGGCUUGCGGUCGAUACGGGCAGGCUCGAGUUCGGUAGGGGAGACUGGAAUUCCGGGUGUAGCGGUGAAAUGCGUAGAUAUCCGGAGGAACACCGGUGGCGAAGGCGGCUUCCUGGACCGACACUGACGCUGAGGCGCGAAAGCUAGGGGAGCAAACGGG
rnacentral:rRNA from 1 species